UUAUAGCAGUAAUAGCUAUACAAACGGAGCUCUCAACCACAAUUAUUUUAACAUUCAAUUACAGUCAUCAAAUACUUUUCUCUCAGUGUAAUUGUCUAACAAUAAGUAUCGCGUGUAGCCAUCGAUAAAAUUUGCGUACGAGAUGAGACAGUGUAUAAAAUGUCGGCAUAUUGAAAUUUCAGAAGAAAGUGCCGGUGACGAGUUUAAAUUAUAUCCUCGCCGUCCGUCGACACUACCCGGACCUACGUCACGAUAAUUACGGGUGGUCGAAUCUGUCGGGCGCCCCGUGAUGAAACAGGUUGGAGCGAUUUCAUUCAAUUUGUCGAGGGUCGUGGAACACUCCUUCAUAGGGAUAUCGUAGAUCUCGUCGUAGAUUUUCGACGAUAAUCACGGGACGGCUACGACCGAGGAAAGACACGGCACUUAAAUAUUCAUGCAUAAAUAAUUAAGGCAGGAAAUUGAAAUGGGAUAUAAUUUACGACGGAAAGAGAGAGAGAGCAAAGUAACCCUCGAGAUAUAAAAGAGAACGAAAGCGCGGAAAUUUAUGAACAGCCGCAACUGAUAGCAACACAAUUUCUUCAGCACGAAAUGGCGCCUAAUCGAACGUACCUUGAUACCUUUGCCGUUAUAAAGCUGGUUCGGCCGUCGCCGGCGGUGCGGAUCAAAGACGAUGGGAGGAGGAGACGGAGAUAGAAGAGGUGCAUUAGGAGGGUGGAUCAAGAGAAAGCAUCGAGGAGACGCCAAAGCAAAAAGGUGCCGAAGAGAGCCGUUUUUCUGGAGGGCUUUCUCUCAUGUAUACUGAAAAAAAUGUUUUUUGUGCUCAAGAAUAAUUAUAUUUAUUUUAACAUCAUUUCCUUGAUUUCAAUAAAUAUUUAUUAGCUAGUACAAAAUAAUUUAUUUUUAAACUUGAGAAAUGUUUUCUUUAAAUCAAGAAAGUUAUGUUAAACGAAAUAUAUUUACUUAAACAUGAGAACUUUUUUUUCAAUGUACAUAUGGUAUUGCUGUGUCAAUCGUGGACGCUAAAUCGUAUAAUGUGUAAAUCGAAAGCAUUCGUAGGGAAAGUGAAAUCGUUGCUCGUAGGGAAUAUGUAUAAUAUGAUAAAUAGCUUAAAUGUCUCAAAUAAUGGAAAUUUGAUAUUAAGUGCUUUUUUGAAUU